rnacentral:rRNA from 1 species
UAAGCAUAUCAAUAAGCGGAGGAAAAGAAACUAACAAGGAUUCCCCUAGUAACUGCGAGUGAAGCGGGAAAAGCUCAAAUUUGAAAUCCUUCGGGAGUUGUAAUCUAGAGAAGUGUUUUCGGUCGUUGCCUCGGACAAGUCCCUUGGAACAGGGCGUCAUAGAGGGUGAGAAUCCCGUCCUUGCCGAGCUACCAACGUCUAUGUGAUGCGCUCUCGAAGAGUCGAGUUGUUUGGGAAUGCAGCUCAAAAUGGGUGGUAAACUCCAUCUAAAGCUAAAUAUUGGCGAGAGACCGAUAGCGAACAAGUACCGUGAGGGAAAGAUGAAAAGCACUUUGGACAGAGAGUUAAACAGUACGUGAAAUUGUUGAAAGGGAAGCGCUUGAAGUCAGUCGCGUUGCAGGGACUCAGCCGCAAGGUGCAUUUCUUUGCAACGGGUCAACAUCAGUUUUGGGCGUGGGAAAAGGGCGUGAGGAAUGUGGCAGCCUCGGCUGUGUUAUAGCCUCCUGUCGUACACCAUGCUUGGGACUGAGGACCGCUAAACAGGAUGUUGACGUAAUGGCUUUAAGCGACCCGUCUUGAAACACGGACCAAGGAGUCUAACAUGUCUGCGAGUGUUUGGGUGUCAAACCCGUGCGCGCAAUGAAAGUAAACGUAGGUGGGAGGCCUCGGCCGCACCAUCGACCGAUCCGGAUCUCUUGGGAUGGAUUUGAGUAAGAGCAUAUAUGUUGGGACCCGAAAGAUGGUGAACUAUGCCUGAAUAGGGCGAAGCCAGAGGAAACUCUGGUGGAGGCUCGUAGCGAUUCUGACGUGCAAAUCGAUCGUCAAAUUUGGGUAUAGGGGCGAAAGACUAAUCGA